CAGCAAUAGAAACUUAAACAAUCAAAAUCACCAAUUUAUCAGUUUGGAUGCUUUAGUGAGAAGGUUGAUUAAAACUAACACUCUGUGGCACUGAUUCAGUUCAGAAGACCAUGCACAGGCUGCCACCUAUAGCAGACACCAGAUUGGACACAGCGCGGGCCGGUUCUGAACAGCUGACAGGUCCAGCUCUCCGACUGCUCUUCCCCAAGGUGAGUGAUGGGGAAAGAUGGGCUGGCGAAUCCCUCUUGGAAGUUCCCAGAAAAAAAGGGAGGUGUUUGAUGCUUCCGGC